rnacentral:snRNA from 1 species
AGCUUUGCACAGUGGCAGUAUCCUAUAGCCCAUGAGGUUUACCUGAGGUGUGAUUAUUGCUAGUUUAAAACUUUUCUCAAAGCAUGCCAGCACAAGAUGGGUGCAUAAAAUGUUGUCAUCUGCUGACAUAAUAUCCACAUUACCAAUUCCACCUGUGGU